CCAGUGCGUGAGCGUGCGCGUUCUUACUGCCGCCAGUGUUGCUUCCGCCGUCCUCUGCCGCUGCUACGGCUGUCGCCGCCCGGGAUCCUCAGGCCGAGCAGUAGGCCGGCCCGCUACCCAGCACAGCCCGGGUACGGAAAGCGGAGCCGCGGAACAGGUGGACGGGCGGGCGUGCCGACAGACUAACCUAACAUGGCUGACCAGAGGCAGCGCUCACUCUCUACUUCCGGGGAAUCGUUAUACCAUGUUCUUGGACUGGACAAGAAUGCAACCUCAGAUGACAUUAAAAAGUCCUAUCGGAAGCUGGCCCUGAAAUAUCACCCUGACAAGAACCCUGAUAACCCAGAGGCUGCAGACAAGUUUAAGGAGAUUAACAACGCCCACGCAAUCCUGACAGACGCCACGAAAAGAAACAUUUAUGACAAGUAUGGCUCGCUGGGGCUCUAUGUGGCUGAGCAAUUUGGGGAGGAGAAUGUCAACACCUACUUCGUACUCUCCAGCUGGUGGGCCAAGGCGCUGUUCGUCGUCUGUGGCCUCCUCACCUGCUGCUACUGCUGCUGCUGUUUAUGCUGUUGCUUUAACUGCUGCUGUGGGAAGUGCAAGCCCAAGGCACCUGAGGGUGAAGAGACAGAAUUCUACGUAUCCCCUGAAGACUUGGAGGCACAGCUGCAGUCUGAUGAGAGGGGAGGGCACUGACACUGUGCCGAGAGUGUUUGUGGUGGCAUCUGGGACUGUUGAGGUGUGAACGUGGACACUUGAGAGGCUACAGACACACCGAUCGUCAUACAGCCAGCAUCCGCCACAGAGACCACCCAGCUGACAGCUGACUCCCACCCCAGCUAUCACACCGACGGGUUCAACUAAAUUCAGGAGAGGCUGUGAUUAGAGGAUGAAUCAGCAUCUGGCCACUGCAACCUUAGAAUCAUGAACUGUAGUCACUGAGAUGGGAAGGCAGCCGUCAACCUGACCCGCUGUGGCUGGUCAGGGCCACUCCCACCUCCUCUUAAGUCCACCCAUCUGUCAAUCCUUGAUACAUGAAGUGCGUAGCAUGCAGUAUUUAAAGCAGUGUAGCUACGGUCUUCUUCUGUUUUAUCCUUUUUUUAAUAGCAUGUAUGGGUUAUGUUCAAUGUCUGUGUUGUGGACGUGCUGCAGCUGGGCUGAAUUAACUGGAUGGUAGUGCUUUUUCGGGUUUUCAGCCACUUGGGUCCAGUGAAGGUUCAGCUGUCUCCUUGUGCUUACAGGAGUCAGGUAAGCACCUGGAGCUACAUCUCCUUGUUGGCCUCUGUGUCCUGUGAUAUGGUCUAGUCCGUGGCUCUGAUCUCAUCCUCAAGGCUGCAGACAGGGCUCUGAUUUCACCUGCAAAGGAGGGAACUGGGCCCCAUCUUCCAGACACCACCAGCAUCAGGCGUUUGCACGGUGUUCGUAUUGGGAAGCUUUCAUAGGGUCUCUGCAGCGUCUCACUCGGCCUCCUGACAGUUUUCCUGUUAGAUCUGCUGUGGAGAGCGCAGGUAUGCCCCUUCUGAGAGUGGGAGCACACUCUGUGUAAGGUCACUGUCUUGGGUCUCCUGGCCUUGUGGACUGAAAUCCUAUCAUUGGAGGCAUGUCUCUUGCUGUGGUGUGUGGGAAAUCAUUUGUCUCUGUUCUGCACCUUUCCAGGUCAAAAGCUGGAUUGACGGGGCCACAGCCUCCUUCCCUCAUUCCUGGGUCAUCUUCCACAUUCCUUCAAGCCAACCUUUUAAUCUUUUUUGGACUUUUAAGAACCACAAAUGGCAGCACCUGCCACUUAGUCAUAGUCAGAAAGUCUCUGAGCCCAGUUGUGGGUGGUAUGUAGCUCCAAGAGUUUGAGUACCCAGGACCCAGAACCUCCUCCCUGUGCUUACCAGUGCUCCAUCCACCCUGCUCACCUUCGCUUCCGCCUGUCAUCAUCAAUGCCUCUGGCAGAGCUGGAGUGUUGGGUUCCUGGAGCAGGUGGCUGGGCCCUGGUGCUCCUGGCUCAGAAGGGUUGGCUUCUUGGGAAGCUGUGGUAGCAGUCACUCACCCUAGGAGGCCAGCUCCAAGCCACAGAAGUCCUUUGUGAACCUCUCUCCAGUCAGUAUUCCAGUCUUGGUUCUAGGGUACCAUGGUGGGUGGAGUUGGGAAAUGUGGUUACCAGGGAUUUGGAGCUAUCCUACCCUCUCACAGUUAGUUGUACCAGACUUCAAUGCCAGGUUCCUCCAGAACCCUCCCGUUGGCUGCUGCUGCCCAUCUGCAUUUCCAGUACCAGUGAAGAAGGAGAAGGCUCAUGUGGUGGCUCAGUGGCCCAGACAAACCAUCAUGUGUUUCUGAAGCCCACCCCAUCCACCUCCUGGCCCCAGGUCAUCAGGGCCUUCAGGGACCAGAUCAGGUUGUCAGGAACUUACAAGAAGAGGCAGCAUUGUGAGGACAAACAUGGCAGUGAUUGAGGGAAACCAUCUAGGUCCUGGGAGACACUGAUGCCAGGGUUCCCAGUCGACCCGACACCAGAACUACAUGAGGCAGAAGCUGGUCUCAAGGUCCUCCCAUGGAUUUGUUAGUUUUGUUCUUAGGAUUGUAGGGACAGCCACUAACAUACUCAGUCAAAGAUCCUUUGAGUACAUCAGGCCUGUGUCUAGGUGGAGUGGGACAUGCCUGUAGCCCAGCACUAGUGCGGCUGAGGUAAGAGGACGUUGACUUGUAGACCAAUCUGGACUUACACAGUAAGACCCUGACUCAACUAAAACAACCUAAAUGAAGAGUGAGAAAUCUAUUGCUUGGCCCAUAUUUGGAACAAAGGAAGAAGAGAAGUCACUGGCAAUCUGGGGUGCUGGUCCCAGUACACUGGUCUUGGUGCCCUUCUCCCACGAUGACCAGGAACCAGGUCCAGAGUUGUAGAUGAUAAGUUACGAUCUGUAGCACAUCCCUCCUGCAUGUAGCUCUGUGGCCCUUUUCCUCACAUCUUAGUGAGCCAGGUCCUGAGCUGGGACUUGUGCUGCUGUUAGGGUGAGAGCACACAAGUUUUGGACAAGUGUCUUGUGGAAUUUGUAAAGCUAAAUAAAUCAUGUUAAACUUGAAACCCUCCAUAUGUACAACAGUUUCACGGUGAUGAUAGUGAUUGUCAUGGUCAGUGGAUUUUCUGACCUGUCCCCGUGCAGACUCUGUUGCAGGGUUUUACCAUGUUGAUCUAAGGCCCCCUUGAUUUCAUUUGCCCUAAGCUAAGAACUGGUGAGUCUCAGAUUGGCCUGACUAUUCCUGUGCAAAUAUAAAUAUUAAAUAUAUAGACACACACACACUCCCCUAACUUUUGUACUAGUCAGCAGUGUAGGUGGUACUGUGGUGCGUUGGCAAGGGAGUGCUGGAAUCUGCAUGGAAGUCCAUCCCGUGCAGUGGAUACCCCUUCAGGACCAGAGAAAGUAGUUAGGAGGGACCCUGGAGGGCCCAUCUACCAAGGCUGCUGCAGUGCAGACUUUUGUUUGUGCCCAAUGAUGUCUUUUCUUGUCUUCCUUUUGACUGUAUUUUAAAAUCACUUUAGAUAAUUCUGUGCAAUGUUUAUGACCUUUCCUGCCCUUCUAAUGUUUGGUUAACACAGCCAGCACCCAAUGGGGAAAAACCAGGAUAAGUGGUAGUGGCAAAUGUCUUUAAUCCAAGCACUUGGGAGGCAGAGGCAGGCAGCUCUCUGUGAGCCUGGUCUACAGAACUAGUUCCAUGACAGCCAGGACUACACACAAAGAAGGAUACCAGUGCUUACUGUGGUUAGAUUAGCUGCUGGAUUUGUUCCUGAGUCCUAAAGCCAGUCUCUUCUCGGAUGUCAAGAUUUAAUAUCUGUCCUACCCAUUGUCCUGCUGACCCAUGGCUUUUAUUACAGAUGAACCUUGUGCAACAGAGCUGCCAGUGUGGCAGCUGGCAGACUCCAGCGAUAGUGACUUAAUCAUUCAAGCUCUCCCUGGAGGGUGUAGGUGCUGUGGUACAGAGAGCUGGUAGGCCACGAGCAUCCUCCUCUGGCCUUCAGUGCACCUUUUAUUGAGGGACAGCUGUGAACAGUGUAAACCGUGACUGAUCUUACUCUUUUUCCAGUGUUUGAGCUGUGAACCCAUGUGUCCCAGCACUGGCCUGUUCCUUUUUAUUUUGGUUGAAUUAUCCUCCUAUGGAAGUGGCAAAAUCUACAUCUUUACUGUCCUCACAAGCUCAGUGUGUGUUGUCACAUGCUGUGAGUGUGGGCUGUGGUGUGUGUCAGUGUGUGUACAUAUGUGUAUAUGUAUAUAUCACACAGCAGGCCUGUCAUGCCUCUGUUUGGUGGUAAAGCAACAAGUACAAUAAAAGUCAGCUCCAAAACAGCCUGUGGUUUCUUGAAGUGUUGGGCAGGGGUAGGGUCUCCCAGCAAAACACAAAAGGAAACCCUGAGUUUAUUGUGUACACAGAUACAUAGACCUGAAUGCAUAACCCCUGGCCAGCAUGGGCUUCAGAUAUGUAUGUGGCUAGAAGGAUGACCAUCUACCAAAUACAUCCCUGGAAACCAUGCAAAGGUCACCUGAACUUCAAGGAUGUGAGGGUCUAGGACAUGACUAGAAACUCCUCUCUUGAAAACUUGGACCAGUUUUAUAAGUACCAGAUUAAAAAAACCAGUCAUCUAGGUGCAUGUAAAGGAUAGCCUGGUUAGGAUCUCUGCCACCGAGGAAGGACCUGGAUCAAGUGCCCCCAUAGGAUGUGCUUUUGGUAUGAUUUCUAGGAAAGUGUCUCAAUACUAAGUUGGGGAAAGAAAUUUUCACUUACAGAGAGAUAAGAGCUAAAUGCAAGUGCAUGUAAAGCCUGUGCUGAUUUUACCCACUGCUAAAGUCUUGUGCACAGCAGGGUACAAAGCUGCUGUCAGUUCAGGUUGAAAACUAUGGUGGUUCCGCAUGGUGACCUGUCUAAAUGUUGACCUAAAAUAAAGAUAGCUGUUGUAUAAUAAAUGUUUUCACUGCAGACCA